rnacentral:rRNA from 1 species
UGGGGAAUUUUGGACAAUGGGCGAAAGCCUGAUCCAGCAAUGCCGCGUGUGUGAAGAAGGCCUUCGGGUUGUAAAGCACUUUUGUCCGGAAAGAAAUGGCUCUGGUUAAUACCUGGGGUCGAUGACGGUACCGGAAGAAUAAGGACCGGCUAACUACGUGCCAGCAGCCGCGGUAAUACGUAGGGUCCAAGCGUUAAUCGGAAUUACUGGGCGUAAAGCGUGCGCAGGCGGUUGUGCAAGACCGAUGUGAAAUCCCCGAGCUUAACUUGGGAAUUGCAUUGGUGACUGCACGGCUAGAGUGUGUCAGAGGGGGGUAGAAUUCCCACGUGUAGCAGUGAAAUGCGUAGAGAUGUGGAGGAAUACCGAUGGCGAAGGCAGCCCCCUGGGAUAACACUGACGCUCAUGCACGAAAGCGUGGGGAGCAAACAGGAUUAGAUACCCUGGUAGUCCACGCCCUAAACGAUGUCAACUAGUUGUUGGGGAUUCAUUUUCCUUAGUAACGUAGCUAACGCGUGAAGUUGACCGCCUGGGGAGUACGGUCGCAAGAUUAAAAGCUUAAA